GGAGAGAUGGUCGAGAGGCUUAAGGCGCGCGCUUGGAAAGCGCGUAUACUAUAACAGGUAUCGGGGGUUCGAAUCCCCCUCUCUCCGCCA
rnacentral:tRNA from 1 species